AGCUUGCUUUUGAAAGGUCAGCGGCGGACGGGUGAGUAACACGUGGGCAACCUGCCUGUAAGACUGGGAUAACUUCGGGAAACCGGAGCUAAUACCGGAUAAUAUAAGGAACCUCCUGGUUCUUUAUUGAAAGAUGGUUUCGGCUAUCACUUACAGAUGGGCCCGCGGCGCAUUAGCUAGUUGGUGAGGUAACGGCUCACCAAGGCGACGAUGCGUAGCCGACCUGAGAGGGUGAUCGGCCACACUGGGACUGAGACACGGCCCAGACUCCUACGGGAGGCAGCAGUAGGGAAUCUUCCACAAUGGACGAAAGUCUGAUGGAGCAACGCCGCGUGAGCGAUGAAGGCCUUCGGGUCGUAAAGCUCUGUUGUUAGGGAAGAACAAGUGCGAGAGUAACUGCUCGCACCUUGACGGUACCUAACCAGAAAGCCACGGCUAACUACGUGCCAGCAGCCGCGGUAAUACGUAGGUGGCAAGCGUUGUCCGGAAUUAUUGGGCGUAAAGCGCGCGCAGGUGGUCCUUUAAGUCUGAUGUGAAAGCCCACGGCUCAACCGUGGAGGGUCAUUGGAAACUGGGGGACUUGAGUGCAGAAGAGGAAAGUGGAAUUCCAAGUGUAGCGGUGAAAUGCGUAGAGAUUUGGAGGAACACCAGUGGCGAAGGCGACUUUCUGGUCUGUAACUGACACUGAGGCGCGAAAGCGUGGGGAGCAAACAGGAUUAGAUACCCUGGUAGUCCACGCCGUAAACGAUGAGUGCUAAGUGUUAGAGGGUUUCCGCCCUUUAGUGCUGCAGCUAACGCAUUAAGCACUCCGCCUGGGGAGUACGGUCGCAAGACUGAAACUCAAAGGAAUUGACGGGGGCCCGCACAAGCGGUGGAGCAGGUGGUUUAAUUCGAAGCAACGCGAAAAACCUUACCAGGUCUUGACAUCCUCUGACACUCCUAGAGAUAGGACGUUCCCCUUCGGGGGACAGAGUGACAGGUGGUGCAUGGUUGUCGUCACCUCGUGUCGGGAGGAUGUUGGGUUAAAUCCCGCAACAAAGCGCAACCCCUUGAUCUGAUGAUCUUAGUUGCCAGCAUUCAGUUGGGCACUCUAAGGUGACUGCCGGUGACAAACCGGAGGAAGGUGGGGAUGACGUCAAAUCAUCAUGCCCCUUAUGACCUGGGCUACACACGUGCUACAAUGGACGGUACAAAGGGCAGCAAAACCGCGAGGUCGAGCCAAUCCCAUAAAACCGUUCUCAGUUCGGAUUGCAGGCUGCAACUCGCCUGCAUGAAGCCGGAAUCGCUAGUAAUCGCGGAUCAGCAUGCCGCGGUGAAUACGUUCCCGGGCCUUGUACACACCGCCCGUCACACCACGAGAGUUUGUAACACCCGAAGUCGGUGGGGUAACCUUUUGGAGCCAGCCGCC
rnacentral:rRNA from 1 species